rnacentral:rRNA from 1 species
UCGUGCUUUGCGGCACGAGUUGUAGAUUGCAGGUUGGAGUCUGUGUGGAAGGCGGUGUCCAAGUCCCUUGGAACAGGGCGCCCAGGAGGGUGAGAGCCCCGUGGGAUGCCGGCGGAAGCAGUGAGGCCCUUCUGACGAGUCGAGUUGUUUGGGAAUGCAGCUCCAAGCGGGUGGUAAAUUCCAUCUAAGGCUAAAUACUGGCGAGAGACCGAUAGCGAACAAGUACUGUGAAGGAAAGAUGAAAAGCACUUUGAAAAGAGAGUGAAACAGCACGUGAAAUUGUUGAAAGGGAAGGGUAUUGCGCCCGACAUGGGGAUUGCGCACCGCUGCCUCUCGUGGGCGGCGCUCUGGGCUUUCCCUGGGCCAGCAUCGGUUCUUGCUGCAGGAGAAGGGGUUCUGGAACGUGGCUCUUCGGAGUGUUAUAGCCAGGGCCAGAUGCUGCGUGCGGGGACCGAGGACUGCGGCCGUGUAGGUCACGGAUGCUGGCAGAACGGCGCAACACCGCCCGUCUG